GUCUAUGGGUAUAAAGUAUAUAGACUCUAGUUGGUUCUGUUAGGACCUGGUCCUCUCUGUCUCUGGGUAUAAAGUCUAUAGACUCUAGUUGGUUCUGUUAGGACCUGGUCCUCUCUGUCUCUGGGUAUAAAGUCUAUAGACUCUAGUUGGUUCUGUUAGGACCCAGUCCUCUUUGUAUCUGAGUAUAAAGUCUAUAACCUUUACUUGGUUCUGUCAGGAGCCAGUCCUCUCUGUCUUUGGGUAUAAAGUCUAUAGACUCUAGUUGGUUCUGUUAGGACCUGGUCCUCUCUGUCUCUGGGUAUAAAGUCUAUAGACUCUAGUUGGUUCUGUUAGGACCUGGUCCUCUCUGUCUCUAGGUAUAAAGUCUAUAGACUCUAGUUGGUCCUGUUAGGACCCAGUACUCUCUGAGUAUAAAGUCUAUAGACUCUAGUUGGUCCUGUUAGGACCCAGUACUCUCUGAGUAUAAAGUCUAUAGACUCUAGUUGGUUCUGUUAGGACCUGGUCCUCUCUGGGUAUGAAGUCUAUAGACUCUAGUUGGUUCUGUUAGGACCUGGUCCUCUCUGUCUCUGGGUAUAAAGUCUAUAGACUCUAGUUGGUUCUGUUAGGCCCCAGUCCUCUUUGUCUCUGAGUAUAAAGUCUAUAGACUCUAGUUGGUUCUGUUAGGACCUGGUCCUCUCUGUCUCUG
ensembl:lncRNA